rnacentral:misc_RNA from 1 species
AACGCACCUUGCACUUCAUGGUAUUCCAUGGAGUAUGCCUGUUUGAGUGUCAUGAAUCUCUCAACUAUAGCUGUUGUCAUGACGGACUAUAUGUUGGAUUUGGAGGCUAUUGCUGGCGCCUGUCAGCUCCUCUCUAAAUGUAUUAGCUGGUUCUAUACAGUUUCUUCAGCGUGAUAUUUGUCUACGCUGCGGGGAUUUGACUUUGUGCUACCUUUACUGUGUGGCCUGAGUUUUUGUAAAGGACUGCUUCUAAUUGAUCCCUUGGGAUCUUACUUUUUGACAUCUGACCUCAAAUCAGGUAGGACUACCCGCUGAACUUAA